rnacentral:tRNA from 1 species
UUAGGGGUGCCAGACAAUAUGGGGUUGAUUUAGGAUUAAUUUAUGGCUUUUGCCCCCCUAAA